rnacentral:rRNA from 1 species
UAAAAAAAGGUAAGCUACUAAGAGCGAAUGGUGGAUGCCUUGACUGGUAAAGGCGAUGAAGGACGUACUAGACUGCGAUAAGCUACGGGGAGCUGUCAAGAAGCUUUGAUCCGUAGAUUUCCGAAUGGGGCAACCCAAUGUAUAGAGAUAUACAUUACCUAUAUAGGAGCGAACGAGGGGAAUUGAAACAUCUUAGUACCCUCAGGAAAAGAAAUCAAUAGAGAUUGCGUCAGUAGCGGCGAGCGAAAGCGCAAGAGGGCAAACCCAGUGCUUGCACUGGGGGUUGUAGGACUGCAAUGUGCAAGAGGUAAGUUUAGCAGAACAUUCUGGAAAGUAUAACCAUAGAGGGUGAUAGUCCCGUAUGCGAAAAACAAACCUUAGCUAGCAGUAUCCUGAGUAGGGCGGGACACGAGGAAUCCUGUCUGAAUCCGGGUCGACCACGAUCCAACCCUAAAUACUAAUACCAGAUCGAUAGUGCACAAGUACCGUGAGGGAAAGGUGAAAAGAACUGAGGUGAUCAGAGUGAAAUAGAACCUGAAACCAUUUGCUUACAAUCAUUCAGAGCCCUAUGUAGCAAUACAGGGUGAUGGACUGCCUUUUGCAUAAUGAGCCUGCGAGUUGUGGUGUCUGGCAAGGUUAAGUAAACGCGAAGCCGUAGCGAAAGCGAGUCUGAAUAGGGCGCUUAGUCAGAUGCUGCAGACCCGAAACGAAGUGAUCUAUCCAUGAGCAAGUUGAAGCUAGUGUAAGAACUAGUGGAGGACUGAACCCAUAGGCGUUGAAAAGCCCCGGGAUGACUUGUGGAUAGGGGUGAAAGGCCAAUCAAACUUCGUGAUAGCUGGUUCUCUCCGAAAUAUAUUUAGGUAUAGCGUUGUGUCGUAAUAUAAGGGGGUAGAGCACUGAAUGGGCUAGGGCAUACACCAAUGUACCAAACCCUAUCAAACUCCGAAUACCUUAUAUGUAAUCACAGCAGUCAGGCGGCGAGUGAUAAAAUCCGUCGUCAAGAGGGAAACAACCCAGACUACCAGCUAAGGUCCCUAAAUCUUACUUAAGUGGAAAACGAUGUGAAGUUACUUAAACAACCAGGAGGUUGGCUUAGAAGCAGCCAUCCUUUAAAGAAAGCGUAAUAGCUCACUGGUCUAGUGAUUUUGCGCGGAAAAUAUAACGGGGCUAAAGUAAGUACCGAAGCUGUAGACUUGCACACAACUUAGAUUAUUUAAGUUUAGAAUAUGAGAAACUAAGUUAUAUGUUUAGUUAUAUUUUUACUGAUUUUUAUAGAGUAAAGAUAGAAAUAAAACUUAGUAAAAUCAGUAAAAAUAUUCUUAGACUAAAGUUAAGUAGUUUAAGUUGUGUGCAAGUGGUAGGAGAGCGUUCUAUUUGCGUCGAAGGUAUACCGGUAAGGAGUGCUGGAGCGAAUAGAAGUGAGCAUGCAGGCAUGAGUAGCGAUAAUUAAUGUGAGAAUCAUUAACGCCGUAAACCCAAGGUUUCCUACGCGAUGCUCGUCAUCGUAGGGUUAGUCGGGUCCUAAGUCGAGUCCGAAAGGGGUAGACGAUGGCAAAUUGGUUAAUAUUCCAAUACCAACAUUAGUGUGCGAUGGAAGGACGCUUAGGGCUAAGGGGGCUAGCGGAUGGAAGUGCUAGUCUAAGGUCGUAGGAGGUUAUACAGGCAAAUCCGUAUAACAAUACUCCGAGAACUGAAAGGCUUUUUGAAGUCUUCGGAUGGAUAGAAGAACCCCUGAUGCCGUCGAGCCAAGAAAAGUUUCUAAGUUUAGCUAAUGUUGCCCGUACCGUAAACCGACACAGGUGGGUGGGAUGAGUAUUCUAAGGCGCGUGGAAGAACUCUCUUUAAGGAACUCUGCAAAAUAGCACCGUAUCUUCGGUAUAAGGUGUGGUUAGCUUUGUAUUAGGAUUUACUCCGAAAGCAAGGAAACUUACAACAAAGAGUCCCUCCCGACUGUUUACCAAAAACACAGCACUCUGCUAACUCGUAAGAGGAUGUAUAGGGUGUGACGCCUGCCCGGUGCUCGAAGGUUAAUUGAUGGGGUUAGCAUUAGCGAAGCUCUUGAUCGAAGCCCGAGUAAACGGCGGCCGUAACUAUAACGGUCCUAAGGUAGCGAAAUUCCUUGUCGGUUAAAUACCGACCUGCAUGAAUGGCGUAACGAGAUGGGAGCUGUCUCAAAGAGGGAUCCAGUGAAAUUGUAGUGGAGGUGAAAAUUCCUCCUACCCGCGGCAAGACGGAAAGACCCCGUGGACCUUUACUACAGCUUGACACUGCUACUUGGAUAAGAAUGUGCAGGAUAGGUGGGAGGCUUUGAGUAUAUGACGCCAGUUGUAUAUGAGCCAUUGUUGAGAUACCACUCUUUCUUAUUUGGGUAGCUAACCAGCUUGAGUUAUCCUCAAGUGGGACAAUGUCUGGUGGGUAGUUUGACUGGGGCGGUCGCCUCCCAAAUAAUAACGGAGGCUUACAAAGGUUGGCUCAGAACGGUUGGAAAUCGUUCGUAGAGUAUAAAGGUAUAAGCCAGCUUAACUGCAAGACAUACAAGUCAAGCAGAGACGAAAGUCGGUCUUAGUGAUCCGGUGGUUCUGUGUGGAAGGGCCAUCGCUCAAAGGAUAAAAGGUACCCCGGGGAUAACAGGCUGAUCUCCCCCAAGAGCUCACAUCGACGGGGAGGUUUGGCACCUCGAUGUCGGCUCAUCGCAUCCUGGGGCUGGAGCAGGUCCCAAGGGUAUGGCUGUUCGCCAUUUAAAGCGGUACGCGAGCUGGGUUCAGAACGUCGUGAGACAGUUCGGUCCCUAUCUGCCGUGGGCGUAAGAAGAUUGAAGAGAUUUGACCCUAGUACGAGAGGACCGGGUUGAACAAACCACUGGUGUAGCUGUUGUUCUGCCAAGAGCAUCGCAGCGUAGCUAAGUUUGGAAAGGAUAAACGCUGAAAGCAUCUAAGCGUGAAGCCAACUCUAAGAUGAAUCUUCUCUAAGCUCUCUAGAAGACUACUAGUUUGAUAGGCUGGGUGUGUAAUGGAUGAAAGUCCUUUAGCUGACCAGUACUAAUAGAGCGUUUGGCUUAUCUUUAAUAAAGCAU